AGUUUAUGGCUCUGCUCCGAGCUACCUGGAGAUUGCCCAUGCCUGUUCUAAACCAUCCAAGAAUAUGUCUCCAAAAUUUCAGAACAAAAUUCGGAUUAUUUCCGGAGAUACAGACAAAAUAGUGAGCAAGCGUCGAGCAGGUAUACGAGCGGCUGGACCGUCUGGAGCCCGCUUGCUCCACCCCUUGAUCUAUUAUGUAUAUUAUAAUAUUACAGCUUAACUGUCUAUAGAAGGUCUGUGGGGCUAAAACUAUUAGUUUCAGGGUGUUGGUGAGCUGGCUAACAUCCGCUAUAAUAAAGCUACAUUUUGCUUUCUGGUUCAGUUUUAAUUUGUCUCUCAGUACGUGAGCAUCUUAAAAAUAUGGAGACCUAUCCUAUUAGACUUAAAAAUUGGGCUCUAGUGCAAACUUUUUUGCGAUAAAGCGGACGAGCAGCGCAUCACGCGCCAAAACAGGCGCCGUUCAUUGGUGACCAAAGAGGCCAGAACAGCCCGACGAAUGGAGCAAUUGGCCGAAAACCAAUUUUUUGAAGAGUCCGAAGGACCGUUAUAUGGAGCAGGAAUCGCUGAUUAUCAUAUUAAUAGGAUGAAAAUUGUGACCUGCAUCUUGCCCGCCACACAGAAAUUGCACACUCUAGGCGCCUCCGUAAAUUUCUUCAAACAUGAAGAAUAUCUAAUUUGUAAUAAUAAAAAAAUUUGAGAAGACUCUUCAAAUAUAUAAGAAUAAAUCCUAAAAGUUUCAUUUCAAUCA